GCCUAAGGAGGAGCGAUGGGGAGGCCUGCGGACGGUUUUGGCUGGUGACGUGCCAAACUACAUCCUUGGUGUGACCAAUUCAGAAUCACCAUCCUGGCAGGGGGAAGUGGUAAAGGUGUUAGAAGUAAGAUUCUCCUGGUGGAUCAUGUCACCAAUAGAAGCCAAAAGCCACAGAGGAGAGGAAGCCCGCAGCUGGAGGCCAUAGAAGAGCAAGUCUGGUAAAUGAUGUUAUCGGGUGAGCCAGGCGAGGAUGUGGAAACCAACGGUUUGCAGCGAGGAGCAAAAGAAACAAAGGGGUGGAGGACUGAUGAGAAGCGCACAGGAGUUUCUUAACCUUUUGUUUACAAACCACUCAUUAAAGGUUGCUAUCUUGCUAUGUU